GACGAACGCUGGCGGCGUGCUUAACACAUGCAAGUCGAACGGAAAGGCCCUGCUUUUGUGGGGUGCUCGAGUGGCGAACGGGUGAGUAACACGUGAGUAACCUGCCCUUGACUGUGGGAUAACUUCAGGAAACUGGGGCUAAUACCGGAUAGGAGCUCCUGCUGCACGGUGGGGGUUGGAAAGUUUCGGCUGUUGGGGAUGGACUCGCGGCUUAUCAGCUUGUUGGUGGGGUAGUGGCUUACCAAGGCUUUGACGGGUAGCCGGCCUGAGAGGGUGACCGGCCACAUGGGGAAUGAGAUACGGCCCAGACUCGUACGGGAGGCAGCAGUGGGGAAGAUUGCACAAUGCGCGGAAGUCUGAUGCAGGAACGCCGCGUGCGGGAUGACGGCCUUCGGGUUGUAAACCGCUUUCGCCUGUGACGAAGCGUGAGUGACGGUAAUGGGUAAAGAAGCACCGGCUAACUACGUG
rnacentral:rRNA from 1 species